CACGUCUCACCGGCGUAGUGACGUCGCUCCAGCGGCCUGGAUGAUGAAGCUUUGGGAGCACGUGUCCUUGCCGAGAUGAGGUGCUAACUGGAGGAGGGAAUCCUGGCAUCAGCUAUCAGAAGGUGCUGCCAUUCUAAACGUCUCUCCAGCAUCCCAGUCACAGUGGUGGCCUAAAAGAGCCAGGAGUUGUUCAACCAUUCUCAGUCGAUUUGUAGCUGUAUGACUUCAACCUGACAAUGCUCCUCAAGGAGAUCCAUCUCCAGCAACAGGACAAAGCAUUCUGUGUAACCUCAAUGGUGAAGCUGACAGGUAACAUUUUGGCCAAGGACAUUCCACAGCUGUGCAUCUAAUCAGAGAUGACUGAAAUCCUCUGUGUCACUUUCCUCCCUAUCACAUUUACACCCGGCACUCUCAGUUAGGGAUGCUGGCCUGCUUUUAUCCUCACAUUGCUACAUAUGUGGACCACAUGAAGAUGACGAUGUUCAGCCACUUGUGUACCAGACAUUAAAAUGCCACCUCUUUAAGACA